rnacentral:rRNA from 1 species
UACGGAGGAUGCAAGCGUUAUCCGGAAUGAUUGGGCGUAAAGCGUCCGCAGGUGGCAAUGUAAGUCUGCUGUCAAAGCGUCUGGCUCAACCAGAUAAAGGCAGUGGAAACUACAUAGCUAGAGUAAGGUAGGGGUAGAGGGAAUUCCUGGUGUAGCGGUGAAAUGCGUAGAGAUCAGGAAGAACACCGGUGGCGAAAGCGCUCUGCUGGACCUUAACUGACACUGAGGAACGAAAGCUAGGGGAGCGAAUGGG